GACCGUCACUCGACAAGGAACCACAGCCUGUCUGUCCGGGUUCAAGUAGACAACAUCAAAGUAACUGGGAGAAGGUACAAAAAGUUCUCCUUUCUCUGCAAAAGGAAAGACACAGGCUUAUUUAUUCUGGAGAAACAAGCCUUCUUUGUUCCACAUUCAUAUGGUGUUUUAGGGUGGGGACGGAAUUCCUGGACACAACAUCAAAAGUCUUCAUGGCCCACAGUUCUAUGGCCAAGUUUGCUGACAUGGAGGUCUUUGCCCCGGCUCUGCAUGAGAUCAAGAAAGGGAAUGCAGAUUUAUCAUCAUUGGGACGGAUGCUCCCCUAUGGCUUACGAGCCUCAGCAUGUGCGGAUGCCAAAAAAAAUGGUUUUAUUCUGAGGAUGCAUCUCAGAUACCCAAAUGUUUCACCGCUGUGAGAUCCACAUUCUUUUCUGAUGUAGUCCAGACUCUCCUGUGGCAUGUUACAGCAACAUCUAGACAGUCGCCGCUUUAAAUUUAGCACCCAGCAAAAUGUCGGGUUGGUUGGUUUUAAACACAGCCUGUUCUGGUUCACCGCUGAAUAGCUGCUUUGCCCGCCAGUUCUGCCAAGAGGUGCCUCUGUACUCCCACUCUGUCAACUGCCUCCUUUCAACUGAACGGAAAUCUCUCCUCCUUCAGGAAGCUUCUAAUUAGAAACUCUCUCAGGAAUCUCCCUGCUUUCCCCUAGUGACAUGAUUGGCUCCCUCGUUCUCAACCCCUAGGACACCCCUGGCUUCCUGUUAUUACAAUAGAUGGUAAAAACUUGAAGGGGAGGGACUGGCCAUAUUUGUUUUAUAUUCCCUAAGCAAGAAAUCUGUGCAGAGUACACAGUAAGGAUUCCCUAGAAACGAGUGGACUGAAAUUGAACUAACGCACAGCAUUGGAACUGGAAAGAACCUUGGAAAGCAGGCAUCCAGCUUCCAGGAUUACACAUGAGGAAACUGAGUCUCAGACAGCAGAAGGCACCUGAGACCCGCAGCUGGUGGACAACUGAACAAGCCUUCCUUAAGUCAA